GCCGGGUGUGGUGGCGGGCGCCUGUAAUCCCAGCUACUUGGGAGGCUGAGGCAGGAGAAUUGCUUGAACCUGGGAGGCAGAGGUUGCAGUGAGCCGAAAUAGUGCCACUGCACUCUAGCCUGAGUGACAGAGCAAGACUCUGACUCAA
rnacentral:SRP_RNA from 1 species